UUAAGUGACUAAGCGUACACGGUGGAUGCCUUGGCAGUUGGAGGCGAUGAAGGACGUACUAACUUGCGAUAAGCCUAGUUGAGCCAGUAAGAGGCGCUUGAGACUAGGAUUUCCGAAUGGGGAAACCCACCUGUUUACAGGUAUCAUAUGGUGAAUACAUAGCCAUAUGAGGCGAACGCGGAGAACUGAAACAUCUAAGUACCCGUAGGAAAAGAAAUCAACCGAGAUUCCGAAAGUAGCGGCGAGCGAAAUCGGAACAGCCCUUAAGCUUGAGUGUAGUUAGUGGAAGGCUCUGGAAAGUGCCACGAUACAGGGUGAUAGUCCCGUACACAAAAACUUAUCUUAAGUGAAAUCGAGUAGGUCGGAGCACGUGAAACUUUGACUGAAUAUAGGUGGACCAUCAUCUAAGGCUAAAUACUCCCAACUGACCGAUAGUGAACCAGUACCGUGAGGGAAAGGCGAAAAGAACCCCUGUGAGGGGAGUGAAAUAGAACCUGAAACCGUGUACGUACAAGCAGUAGGAGCCCACUUGUUGGGUGACUGCGUACCUUUUGUAUAAUGGGUCAGCGACUUAUAUUUUGUAGCGAGGUUAACCGAAUAGGGAAGCCGUAGCGAAAGCGAGUCUUAACUGGGCGCGUAGUUGCAAGGUAUAGACCCGAAACCCGGUGAUCUAGCCAUGGGCAGGUUGAAGGUUGAGUAACAUCAACUGGAGGACCGAACCCACUAACGUUGAAAAGUUAGGGGAUGACCUGUGGCUAGGAGUGAAAGGCUAAUCAAACCGGGAGAUAGCUGGUUCUCCCCGAAAUCUAUUUAGGUAGAGCCUCGGACGAAUACUUACGGGGGUAGAGCACUGUUAAGGCUAGGGGGUCAUCCCGACUUACCAACCCUUUGCAAACUCCGAAUACCGUAAAGUAAUAUCCGGGAGACACACGGCGGGUGCUAACGUCCGUCGUGAAGAGGGAAACAACCCAGACCGCCAGCUAAGGUCCCAAAGUGUAUGUUAAGUGGGAAACGAUGUGGGAAGGCUAAAACAGCUAGGAGGUUGGCUUAGAAGCAGCCACCCUUUAAAGAAAGCGUAAUAGCUCACUAGUCGAGUCGGCCUGCGCGGAAGAUGUAACGGGGCUAAACAUACCACCGAAGCUGCGGCUGCGAACUUAUGUUCGCGGGGUAGGGGAGCGUUCUGUAAGCGGUUGAAGGUGUACCGGGAGGUAUGCUGGACGUAUCAGAAGUGCGAAUGCUGACAUGAGUAACGAUAAUGCGGGUGAAAAACCCGCACGCCGGAAGACCAAGGGUUCCUAUCCCAUGUUAAUCAGGGUAGGGUAAGUCGACCCCUAAGGCGAGGCUGAAGAGCGUAGUCGAUGGGAAACAGAUUAAUAUUUCUGUACUUGGAAUAAUUGCGAUGGGGGGACGGAGCAGGCUAAGUAAGCAUGGCGUUGGUUGUCCAUGUGAAAGUAUGUAGGCUGGCGACUUAGGAAAAUCCGGGUUGCUAAGGCUGAGAUACGAGACGAGCUACUACGGUAGUGAAGUUACUGAUGCCCUACUUCCAGGAAAAGCCUCUAAGCUUCAGAUUAUUUCGAAUCGUACCCCAAACCGACACAGGUGGUCAGGUAGAGAAUACUAAGGCGCUUGAGAGAACUCGGGUGAAGGAACUAGGCAAAAUCGUACCGUAACUUCGGGAGAAGGUACGCUGACAUUAGGUGAAGAGCUUNNNNNNNNNNNNNNNNNNNNNNNNNNNNNNNNNNNNNNNNNNNNNNNNNNNNNNNNNNNNNNNNNNNNNNNNNNNNNNNNNNNNNNNNNNNNNNNNNNNNCGCUUGGAGCUGAAGUCAGCCGCAGUGACCAGGUGGCUGGGACUGUUUAUUAAAAACACAGCACUGUGCAAAAUCGUAAGAUGACGUAUACGGUGUGACACCUGCCCGGUGCCGGAAGGUUAAUUGAUGGGGUUAGACUUAGGUCGAAGCUCUUGAUCGAAGCCCCGGUAAACGGCGGCCGUAACUAUAACGGUCCUAAGGUAGCGAAAUUCCUUGUCGGGUAAGUUCCGACCUGCACGAAUGGUGUAACCAUGGCCACGCUGUCUCCACCCGAGACUCAGUGAAAUUGAAAUCGCAGUGAAGAUGCUGUGUACCCGCGGCUAGACGGAAAGACCCCGUGAACCUUUACUACAGCUUGGCACUGAACAUUGAACCUACAUGUGUAGGAUAGGUGGGAGACUUUGAAGCACAGUCGCUAGAUUGUGUGGAGUCAACCUUGAAAUACCACCCUUGUAGUUUUGAUGUUCUAACGUAGGUCCCUAAUCGGGAUUGCGGACAGUGCCUGGUGGGUAGUUUGACUGGGGCGGUCUCCUCCCAAAGAGUAACGGAGGAGCACGAAGGUUGGCUAAGUACGGUCGGACAUCGUACGGUUAGUGUAAUGGUAGAAGCCAGCUUAACUGCGAGACAGACACGUCGAGCAGGUACGAAAGUAGGUCAUAGUGAUCCGGUGGUUCUGAAUGGAAGGGCCAUCGCUCAACGGAUAAAAGGUACUCCGGGGAUAACAGGCUGAUACCGCCCAAGAGUUCAUAUCGACGGCGGUGUUUGGCACCUCGAUGUCGGCUCAUCACAUCCUGGGGCUGAAGUCGGUCCCAAGGGUAUGGCUGUUCGCCAUUUAAAGUGGUACGCGAGCUGGGUUUAGAACGUCGUGAGACAGUUCGGUCCCUAUCUGCCGUGGGCGUUUGAGAAUUGAGAGGGGCUGCUCCUAGUACGAGAGGACCGGAGUGGACGAACCGCUGGUGUUCGGGUUGUCAUGCCAAUGGCAUUGCCCGGUAGCUACGUUCGGAACUGAUAAGCGCUGAAAGCAUCUAAGCGCGAAGCAGGCCUCGAGAUGAGUUCUCACUUUAACUUUAAGUUAACUGAAGGGCCGUUGAAGACUACAACGUUGAUAGGCUGGAUGUGGAAGCAUAGUGAUAUGUUAAGCUAACCAGUACUAAUUACCCGUGAGGCUUAACCA
rnacentral:rRNA from 1 species